CAUUUUUAAGUAAAUGGAUGCACCUUGAGACCAUGCUCCUAAGUGAAAUAAAUCAGACAAACAUGCUCAAAUAUCAUAUGCUUUCUCUGAUGUGAGAAACCAAAAGUAUAAAUAAGGACCAAAAUGUACAAUAGAUAUUGAGAAAUGGGGAGAAAAUGUCCAAAUGAGAUGAGGAAUAAGGGAAAGGAGAGAGAGAAAAGAAAAAGGGAUAAGGAAAAGAAAUAAAUGGAAGGAAAAAAUGGAAACAAAGCUUUUAUAAGUAAAGAGGAGUUGAUGGGAGGGGAGGGGAGUGGGAAAAAAAGAAGGAAGUUAUAUCAUAUACAGGUACAAAUUCCCUAUCUUGGAUGUUAUCAUUAUGUAUAUCUAAAAUGUACCAAUAUGAUAAAAAGUGAAAAAAAAUUCAUGGUAAGUGAGAUGGAGUUGGUGGGAGCAGAGGAGCUUUGUAGAUGAGGUACUCAAAGGAAAAAUGAUAUUUUCAGGUUUGAUGCCCUUUAUUUUUUCUUCCACAGUAAUUAGUGAAUGCCAAAGACAGCAACUGGAGUCUGUAAGCUACUCGUCUCGCUAUGCUCUGGGCCUCUUUUAUGAAGCUGGCACGAAGAUUGAUGUCCCUUGGGCUGGGCAGUACAUCACCAGUAAUCCCUGCAUACGCUUUGUCUCCAUAGAUAAUAAGAAGCGCAAUAUAGAGUCGUCAGAAAUCGGGCCUUCCCUGGUGAUUCACACCACCGUCCCAUUUGGAGUUACACACUUGGAACACAGCAUUAAAGAUGUACAGGAGUUAAUCCUUCAGCAGCUGGAAAACAUUUUGCCAGGUUUGCCUCAGCCAGUUGCUAUCAAAUGCCAGAAAUGGAGACAUUCACAGGAUGGGGAGAAAGAAGAGAAAGGAAGAGCAACAACAGUUAUGGGCAUCUAUAUAGUGCCAGGCCUGGGGCUGGAUGAGUCAAAGAUCUUAUCUCAUUUAUUGUCAAAAGAAGUCUUAUAAUUGACAGCGAGAUACCACUACACAAAUGGAAUGGCCAAAAGCCAGAACACCAAGCAACAGUAACUGUAAUUCACUGCUUAUGAGAAUGCAAAAUAGCACAGACUUUGGGAAGACAGUUUAGUAGUUUCUUACAAAUCUAGAUCCAUGCUUACUAUAUGAUCCAGCAGUUAUUCUCCUUGGUAUUUACCCAAAGGGGUUGAAAACGUAUUUCCACGCACAACCUGUAUCUGAAUGUUUAUAGCAGCUUUAUUCAUAAUUGUCAAAACUUGGAAGCAACCAAAAAAUUCUUCAGUAGAUGAAUAAAUAAAUAAACUGUAGUACAAUGGAAUAUCAUUCAACACUAAAAGAAAUGAGCUAUCAAGCUAUAAGAAGUUGUAGAAGAAAUUUUAAAUGCAUAUUAUUAAGUAAAAGAAGCCAGUACAAAAAGACAACCUAUUGUACAAUUCCAACUGUAUAUGAUAUUCUGGAAAAGACAAAAAUAUGGAGACAGUAAAAAGAUCAGUGAUUGUCAGAGGUUGGAAAGGAAGGAAGAAUGACUAAGUAGAGCAAAAAUUUUUAGGGUAGUGAAAAUAUAAUGGUGAAUACAUGUUGUUCUAUAUUUGUCCAGAUCCACAGAAUGUACAACUCUAAAGGUGAAUGCUAAUGUAUGCUAUGGACUUGGGAUGAUAAUGUUGUCUACAUGUACAUUAAUUAGUUUUUAUAAAAGUACCACUCUAGUGGAGAUGUUGAUAAUAACAGGUGCUAUGAAGGUAGAGAAACAAGAUAUAUGGGAAUCUCUGUUCCUUCCUCUCAAUUUUGUUAUGAACAUAAAACUGCUUGUAUUGUUUCCUGUUGCUAUGGGAUAUGACAAAAAAUACAGUGAAUGUUUAGUGGGGUUUCUAUUAAUUAAAAAUUUAUUUACAGUAAAAGAUACAUUACCACUAAUCUCCCUCAAAAUACUCUUCCUUGUUUUUUUGUGAAUAAUUGCUUUUAUUAACGAAUCCAAAUACUAGAUAUGAGUAAUUGGUUUGGGAGUUUUGUCUUUUUCCUUUGUUGUAGGAAAUUUGAAACCAAUUUCAUUUUUGAUUCUACAGCAGAAUUUUGCUUUUCCCCAGAUUUUUACAAAAUUAUAAUAAAUUUUUCCCCCAUCAUGAAAAUAAUAUAGUAAAUUCUCACAUAGCACAUUUGGGUGUUAGCUGACUGUAGUGAGUAUGUUAUUUUUUAGAAUCCACUGCCUUUAUUUUUGGUAAGAGUAUUCAAAUGUCCUUAGAGGGCUGGCCCCGGCUCCUCACUUGUGUUUUGGAGAGAAUUGACACAACUUCCCGCUCCAGAGCUAGAGAUAUGAGUCAGAGAUAGAUAGUCAGGUAGGCAGGUAAUUGGUUUAGGAUUAGGCAUGUGACCCAUUUAAAGAAAAUAAGAUAU
rnacentral:lncRNA from 1 species